UACGUAGGGGGCGAGCGUUGUCCGGAAUUAUUGGGCGUAAAGAGUCUGUAGGCGGUUUUGUAAGUCAGGUGUGAAAGCCCCGGGCUCAACCCGGGAAGUGCAUCUGAUACUGCUUAACUUGAAUGUUGGAGAGGGUAGUGGAAUUCCUGGUGUAGUGGUGAAAUACGUAGAUAUCAGGAGGAACACCGGUGGCGAAGGCGGCUACCUGGCCAGACAUUGACGCUGAGAGACGAAAGCGUGGGGAUCAAACAGG
rnacentral:rRNA from 1 species